AUUUAUUUAGCUGCGUAGAAACUCAAGCCGGGUUGCAUUUCUGUUCACCGGCUGACAGGCCGCAGCAAGCGAGGUCAGGUCUCCACACGGGGGCUGCUUGAGACCCCACAACCUCAGGCCUGUUCAGGGGAAGGAGUCGACAUCCGAGUGAUGGAUGAGAGGGGUCUCCAAAUGGAAUGGUGACGGCGGCUGAUACAG